CUAGCCGUAAACGAUGGGUACUAGGCGUUGUGAGUAUCGACCCUCACAGUGUCGUAGCUAACGCGUUAAGUAUCCCGCCUGGGGAGUACGCGCGCAAGCGUGAAACUCAAAGGAAUUGACGGGGGCCCGCACAAGCGGUGGAGUAUGUGGUUUAAUUCGAUGCAACGCGAAGAACCUUACCAGGACUUGACAUGUCGCGAAUCUCAGGGAAACUUGAGAGUGCCUUCGGGAGCGCGAACACAGGUGGUGC
rnacentral:rRNA from 1 species